GCUCUGCAUUUAAAAGCUCGGCCCACCCACUCCUCCCCAGAGACAUUUCUGACUUAGUCUUCAAGCAUCUUCCUAUUAUGAUACUCCUCUCCUCCUAAGCCCCUCAAUGAAACCCUUCAUACUAACAUCUGUUGCAUUUUUUCCCCCACAGGGAUGACGCUGGAACUCUGAUGGAAUAUCACAUGGCCCCAAGGCCUUGCUUUCUUCACCCAGGUGUCAAUGCCAUCUGAUCAGAUGCUGGCUCCUUUCUUGGCUGGGGAAGUCGGGAUCCACAGCGGUGGUUUUAUGUUUUAGUCCGAGCUUCUGGAAGAGCCCUUGCAAAUCAGCUACUUGUUGAGUGCUUUGUCUUCAAUGAAAAAGGAUUAUCAUAGAGUCCCAUGGAGGCCGACUAUGUCAGGCAUCCCAUGUAAGAACACUGGGACAGCUGACCUCUGCCUGUAUUCCAAACAAAUGAUUCAACUAUUCUUUUAGGGACUUCACUGAGAAUAUGGUGGCCCUGAGGUCUACCUCACUCAGCCAUCUGCUGUUUGGGUUAGCCCUUUUCCUUGAAUUGUUCAUGGAGAGUUUCUCUGAGCCCACCCGGAACAAAGAGAGGGACUGACAAGGCUGAAGAAAAUGUGUGCUUCACACGAGUUUAGGCUGCUUUGCUGAGAACCAAGUCCCAGCUCUGCGACCUUUCUGCACUUUUGCUUGUUUACUUCAUCUGAGACCCAGAAUCCCAAGUCCUUGUGCCAGAGCACAAACCAACUUUCCUGCCUCAGCUUUUCCACUAGUACCAUAUAUGAUGCAGUUCAUUAAGUUUCAAGGCAACUUCUACACACCAGCUGUUAGCAUGGCAUCCUUCUUCUGCUUUCCCUGGGCACCUGUCCCAGAGUCUCUGCUUCCAGAAGCUUCACUUGCCCUCCCCUUGCCUGACACUGUUCUGGCUUAGGCUUUGAGGCUCUCUCUGCCAUAGUUUCAUUCAAUAAUAUCUUUCCUUACUUGGGUCCAGACUUAACUCUUUUUUUUUUUCCUUGACAAUUUCUUUGGCAAAAGAUACCAUUUAGGAUUUGAUUUUUGGAACAUAAAAUACAAAAAGUAGUCAGGAAGUUUUGAACACUUGAUUAAAUAGGAUCGAGGAUUACUGAGAAAUAAUAGUUGGUUGUCUAUUUCACCAAAAUGAUGAUAUAAAUUUAAAAGUAGACAUAGAAGAUGACUAUAAAGAACUUCAGUUCUUUUUAAGUGAAAAGACUUUGUUCUCUCGAGUAAUUAAAGAUAUGACAAAAUCAACAUAAAGUAUAGGAAAGAGUCUAAUAAGACCCUGAAUAGUUGUUCUCUAGGCAGAUUAUUCUAAAGGCAAAGAAAAAUGUAUUUUAUAAGCACUUACUAAGAGAAAACCAGUAAUCCGGGGGGGGGGGGAAUGUCAUUUUAAUAGAAAACUAAAUGCUAGUUUUGAAACAGCAUAUUUGGUACUAACGCUCUUAUUAAAAUAUCUUAUAAAUAAGCUCAUAAACCUCAGCCAGCUUUGACUAUAAGAAAUACAAUUCCCUUUCCAUGAACCAUCUGCAACUUUCUCUAUCCAGACAAGUCUUGUCAUACACUUGUCUCUCAUUUUGGAACUAGUCAUUUCACUUUGGAACUAAGUUACUCUUGUUUUCCUUAACAAAAUACCGCAUGCAAGCUUUGCAUGCAAAGUUUUCCCUAUGCCGCUAUCAUUCCUGAUAGAGUCCCAUUCAUGUAUAUUGAUUCUAAGAUUUCACGACAGCCACUGCUGUUGUUUAAAGAAAACUAGGAGAUAGGAUAAGAGAAGAGUUAUUCCCGAAGAAUGGAUUACAGCAGUGAGGCAGAUCUUAUUAGAAUGACUGCAGUAGAGGAGAGAGGCUUUGGUAUAGAGCUCAGUCCCAUUCCUAUGAGCACUGACAGCUGAAGAUCUUGGCCAAGGAGCCAAGGGAAGGGGGGAGUGGGUAGAAAAUUCCUAAGAGGAACUUGGUCAGAUACCAAAGUAGGGGGAUUCUUGCUAGAUUGGCUUAACAGGAAUCUUACUAAAAGCAGAUGCCAAGGACUUAGAUAUCUAGCGCAGGGUAUGAGGAGUUUGAUCAGAUAUCAGGGAUACUCAGAUAUAAAGGGGGGCAGUUGUCAAUUAACUAACUCAGGAUUCAUUGCUAAAAUGGGGCUCAGCAGGCCAAGGUUGAGCCUGGUCUAGAAGAAGGCUCAAAGGAGCCUAACUAAAGUUUGGUCAAAGAAGGAGUAUUUGCUAAUAAAUGACUAUAAACUCUCUUUCAUAUACCAGUAUUUUCUAGCAGACUAUCAGAGUUCAUAAAUAUACAUCUCAACAUCUCAUAAUUUCUAUAGCCUGUCCCUUAUAGUAUAGCUUCUCAAUGUGGCAAAAAAUGAACAUGUCCAUUAACAGACCCAAAUAAAUAGCCUCUCUGUAUUGUAUAAAAGGCCAAAAACAUAUAAAAUGAAAUUGUAUUUAGCAAUUAAUGCUUCAGUAUUGUGUUUUACUUAGAUAUGAUUUAGGUAUCUAAUAAAUAUUCAUGAAUUAACUCAAUUUAGCAUCAGUCCAAGGUCUUAAGCUACCAAUUGAUUUUGGACACAGUCUCCAAGCUGACAUACUACAAAAUAGAAUUACUUUGAAAUAAAGUUUGUCCAAAUAAUGACUUAA